rnacentral:tRNA from 1 species
UGCCUUGUAGUGUAAUUGGCAACACACCUCUCUUUGAAAGAGGUAUUUCAGGUUCAAAUCCUGACGAGGCAGCCA